GCUUACGACCAUAUCACGUCGAAAGCACCGGUUCUCGUCCGAUCACCGAAGUUAAGAGCAACGUCGAGCCUAGUGAGUACUUAGAUGGGUGACCGCUUGGGAAACCUAGGUGCUGUAAGCG
rnacentral:rRNA from 1 species